CCCUUAGAUGUCCUGGGCCGCACGCGCGUUACACUGAUGCAUUCAACGAGCUUAUAACCUUGGCCGAGAGGCCUGGGCAAUCUUGUUAACGUGCAUCGUGAUAGGGAUAGAUUAUUGAAAUUAUUAAUCUUGAACGAGGAAUUCCUAGUAAACGCAGAUCAUCAAUCUGCAUUGAUUACGUCCCUGCCCUUUGUACACACCGCCCGUCGCACCUACCGAUUGGAUGGUCCGGUGAAGCCUCGGGAUUGUGGUUCUUGCCGCUUAAUUGUGGCGUGACCGCGAGAACUUGUCUAAACCUUAUCAUCUAGAGGAAGGUGAAGUCGUAACA
rnacentral:rRNA from 1 species